rnacentral:rRNA from 1 species
CCUACGGGAUGCAGCAGUGAGGAAUAUUGGUCAAUGGACGAGAGUCUGAACCAGCCAAGUAGCGUGAAGGAUGACUGCCCUAUGGGUUGUAAACUUCUUUUAUAUGGGAAUAAAAUGUUCCACGUGUGGGAUUUUGUAUGUACCAUAUGAAUAAGGAUCGGCUAACUCCGUUCCAGCAGCCGCGGUAAUACGGAGGAUCCGAGCGUUAUCCGGAUUUAUUGGGUUUAAAGGGAACGUAGGUGGAUUGUUAAGUCAGUUGUGAAAGUUUGCGGCUCAACCGUAAAAUUGCAGUUGAAACUGGCAGUCUUGAGUACAGUAGAGGUGGGCGGAAUUCGUGGUGUAGCGGUGAAAUGCUUAGAUAUCACGAAGAACUCCGAUUGCGAAGGCAGUUCACUGGACUGCAACUGACACUGAGGCUCGAAAGUGUGGGUAUCAAACAGGAGUAGAUACCCCUGUAGUC